AGUACCGGUCAGAACCUGCUAAAACCCAUCUCUGGAACAAAACUGCAGCCGGGGUUUGGGUUGUUACUGGUUAUUCUUACACAACCAAUAAACCGGUUGCAUAUUAUCGUUUCCAGGGCUUCGUCGGCACCUGGCUGACGCUGAAGGCUCAAUUUAAAAUGCUGGGUUUUUUUAUCCUUCAAGUCCAGAAAGGAGAUCGAUACUGUAUCAGAGAUACAAUCUGCCAAGCAAAGUCUUUAGGAGAAUGUCUAUUCUACGUCCCACAAAUAUCUUGAGGAACAACACCGACUCUAAUCCUAUCAGCCCAACAAAAGCCCCUGUGUGCCACUCAAGAUACAAGGCAGCCCUGAGACGCAUGAUUGAUGCCCAGAGAAGGGUGUUUAAUCACCUUUCCAACUCUCGUAAAUAUGAGCCAGUUGCCAGGAAUCCAAAAUUAUGAUCACAUGACCACAGGAAUAGUGCAACGGUCGGACCAAGCAAUGCCUGGAUUGGAAAAAUGGAAGAGGGAAGCUGCAAAGAUCAAGGUUUGAAGGAGGAGGAGAUUCAACCCCAACUGACCCAAUUGGUGCUGAAGGAAGAGACAUUUUUGAGGCCGAAAGCAGGAAAUUAACCUUAACCCUAACUCUUCCCACUUAUGGUUAUAUCCAUGUUGCUUGUAUCUUUACAACUUAUAUUGUUUUUAUUGUUUCCUAGUAUGAUUUGAUUGCUUAUUAGUAUCCCAUGACUAUUACUAAGCGUUGUAUCUAAUGAUUCUUGACGGAUAUAUUUUAUUUUUUCUUUAUGUACACUGAGAGCACGUGCACCAAAGACAAAUUCCUUGUGUGUCCAAUCAUACUUGGCCAAUAAACAAUUUCUUUUCUUUUCUUUUCUAUUCUAUUCUAUUCUAUUCUAUUCUAUUCUAUUCUAUUCUAUUCUAUUCUAUUCUAGUCUAGUCUAGUCUAGUCUAGUGUAGUCUAGUCUAGUGUAGUCUAGUCUCUAUUUAUUCCAAUUUCUUUUCUAUUCUAUUCCCUAUUCCAAUUUCUACUCCAGUCUACUCUACUCUACUCUACUCUGCUCUGCUCUGCUCUGCUCUGCUCUACUCCAUUCCAUUCCAUUCCAUUCCAUUCUUUACUCUCUUAUUCUAGUCUAGUCUAGUCUAGUCUAGUCUAGUCUAGUCUAGUCUAGUCUAGUCUCUAUUUAUUCCAAUUUCUAUUUUAUUCUAUUCUCUAUUCCAAUUUCUAUUCUAUUCUAUUCUAUUCUAUUCUAUUCUAGUCUAGUCUAGUCUAGUCUAGUCUAUUCUAGUCUAGUCUAGUCUAGUCUAGUCUAGUCUAGUCUAGUCUAGUCUAGUCUAGUCUAGUCUAGUCUAGUCUAGUCUAGUCUAGUCAGUCUAGUCUAGUCUAGUCUCUAUUUAUUCCAAUUUCUUUUCUAUUCUAUUCUCUAUUCCAAUUUCUACUCUACUCUACUCUGCUCUGCUCUGCUCUGCUCUACUCCAUUCCAUUCCAUUCUUUACUCUCUUAGUCUAGUCUAGUCUCGUCUAGUCUAGUCUAGUCUAGUCUAGUCUCUAUUUAUUCCAAUUUCUAUUCUAUUCUAUUCUAUUCUAUUCUAUUCUAUUCUAUUCUAUUCUAUUCUAUUCUCUAUUCCAAUUUCUAUUCUAUUCUAUUCUACUCUACUCUACUCUACUCUACUCUACUCUACUCUACUCUACUCUACUCUACUCUACUCUACUCUACUCUACUCUACUCUACUCCACUCCACUCCAUUCCAUUCCAUUCUUUACUCUUCUAUUCUAUUCUAUUCUAUUCUAUUCUAUUCUAUUCUAUUCUAUUCUAUUCUAUUCUAUUCUAUUCUAUUCCAUGUGCUUUUUUUUGGGGGGGUUUUUUCCUAAAUCUGGAUUACCUAGCAAAGGUUUAAAAGUCUCCUAAUCUUUUCCCCAAGCCCUAAGCCAAAUUGAAUAGCUUUUCUGUUCUUUAAGGAGCAUUGAAAUGGAUUGAUCUGUUUUGUGACAUCUGUAACCCCGUUCAGUUCUCUUAUUAGAAUCUUAUAGAAUUGCUGUCAUGUUUCUACUGUACUGCAUGGAAUUUUAAUUAUGCAACAUCCAGCUGGCCGUAAGGAAGGAAGAUGGUUUAAAUAAACAAACUUAUAGCAUUAGGUCUAUAAAUUGUCCCCAAACAAUUAGAUCAAGAGAAGUAUAAACCCAACGCAAAUAAGUCACCCAACGCAGGGCAAUCUGCCAGCUGAAUAAAUAUACCAAUCCAAUAAACAAAUCAAUAAUAUUUUAUUUUUAGGUUUUUAGGUUUUCAUUCCUAAAUCUUCCCAGUUCAGCUUUGCUCCCCUAAUGACAAGCUGCAGUUUUCUAAAAAAGAUGUUGAGACUCUAGAAAGAGUGCAGAGAAGAGCAAGAAAGAUGAUUAGGGGACUAGAGGCUAAAACAUAUGAAGAAUGGUUGCAGGAACUGGGUAUGUCUAGUUUAAUGAAAAGAAGGACUAGGGGAGACAUGAUAGCAUCUUCCAAUAUCUCAGGGGCUGCCACAAAGAAGAGGGAGUCAAGCUAUUCUCCAAAGCACCUGAGGGCAGGACAAGAAGCAAUGGGUGGAAACUAAUCAAGAAGAGAAACAACUUAGAACUAAGGAGAAAUUUCCUGACAGUUAGAAUCAGUGGAACAACUUGCCUGCAGAAGUUGUGAAUGCUCCAACACUGGACGUGUUUAAGAAGAUGUUGGAUAACCCUUUGUCUGAAGUUCUUUAGGGUAUCCUGCCUAAACAGGGGGUUGGACUAGAAGACCUCCAAGGCCCCUUCCAACUCUGUUAUUCUAUUCUAAAAUGAAAAUGACAAUUUUGAGUUCUCACUCCAUUUGGUUCUGCGAGGAGCUCCUCAAAAAUUUGCCAAUGCAACAUCAUCCAGGCAGCUUCUGAACAUGUUAAGAGUGUCACGCUCUUGACGGCGCUUUUCAUGGAUGAAAAAGGGCUCUGAUUUCCCCAAGCAGGAAGACUUGUAUAAAUAUUCUCCUUGCUAAUCUUUUCAGGGCUGUACGUAACAAACUUCUCUUAUAAUGAAAUACACCCGAACGGUUGAAAUUCCCCUUACCUGUAAGACGAUGUAUGUGUUUAUAAGCAAGGCAGGGAUGUUAAAUCCGUGACCUUUGAAAAUUUCACUCCAGGCAGGUUAGUAGCUUAUGUUAAUUCCAUAGGAUAUGUCAACUGUGGAAUAAGCUAAUUUGUCACUGUUUUGUUAUGACUGGCAGGGGCCCGUUUAGAAUAAAUCUUAAUUUAAAUUCAAUCGGCGGUGUCUCUAUGGGCGGGUCCACGGGAUAAAUUAAUUCCACACCUGGCAGUGAUGGGGAGGAAACCGUUGGCAGCAAGUGGCUUCCGACAAUUUGAGUCUGUUGGGCUCAAUAUUUAUUGGUAACGGAUGCUAGGUGGCUGGGAGAGUGCGAAAGAGUGGGGUUUGGACUAAAAUUACACUCACUCGCUUUGCAUGGAGACAGUGCUGUACAAUCGACACACACACACACACAAACAAACACACACACACACACACACACACACUGAUAUCCAGAUAGCACUGAAGUCAACUGUUGUUCCGAAAUAGGACACCUGGUCCUCAUGCCAUUGAUAAAAGGAACAUAUUUAUUGAAUCGGUGGCUUUGCUCACCAUUCAGAAAACCGGGGUGAAUUAUGAGCGCUGGCUGUUGUUUGUUUGAUAUGGAACCUGAAGAAUGCAGUCGGAAUAAAGUGUGAAAUUUGUGUGGGGAGGUGGAUUAGUCACACACACUAGGAGCUGUUCAGGGAGCAAAAUCUGUUCACCGACUCCACGCAAAACCCCCACGGAAGCGGCGAUGGCUUCAAGCGUCGUCUUCCAUUCUGAUGGAACUGGACAGCCCAGGUCUACUUGGUCUCCAAGUCCUGGAGGU